GCGGAUGUAGCCAAGUGGAUUAAGGCAGUGAAUUGUGAA
rnacentral:tRNA from 1 species